UUAUUCAUAACGACUCUCGGCAACGGAUAUCUCGGCUCUCGCAUCGAUGAAGAACGUAGCGAACUGCGAUACUUGGUGUGAAUUGCAGAAUUCCGUGAACCAUCGAGUCUUUGAACGCAAGUUGCGCCCGAAGCCUNNNCUGAGGGCACGUUUGCCUGGGUGUCA
rnacentral:rRNA from 1 species